ACAAAACAAAACAAAACAAAACAAACCUUCCUCUUCAGGAGAAAGACAACAGAAGCCAACAGAAAGCUUCUUCCUAAAGAACUGUCUAUGAAUAUCUUAGAGGUAGACAACUGAUUUAAGAAGACCAAGGGGAUGAUUCUUCUGACAGCCAUAACCACAAGAUUUCAGAUUUUGGGCUCCAGUAAAACAUCAAAUCUACAAAAAUCACAACAUGGCCAGCUUUCCCACUCUCUUCUGCUUAUUACUUUCCAGCUCUACAAAUAUGGGAGCCGGGUGAUGCUAACGAGGAAACAAAGGGACUGCGCUCUGCUUCACGUGGGAUCCGUCUGAUUCCAGUGAAGUCCCUCAAUGCUGCACAACUACCUGUAUGCAGAAACAUCUUGGCUUCGAGUGAUACAGAUGCAAUUCCUUGAUGAAGUUGAUAAGACAGUAUAACCUUAACCUUGCUAUAACUUAGCCCAACUAUUUAAUCUCAACGUGGAGAAAAUGGAUACCCAAGUAGAUGAAGCGACUAUUUGGAUUACACUAAUAGUCACAGAAUCCAGGCCUUUUGACUAAUAAUUUAAUAAUUUUGGCUAAUAAUGUGACUAAUAAUCUACAUUUUCCAACGCUCCCUGCUGCUUCCCAAGGGGCAGCAUUUUUCUCCAGGAUUCCCAAACACCGAGGUGGUAUUUUGAAGCUGCACUGUACUACACAUCUUCCAUAGGAAUAGAUACAUCAGAGAGAAAGUUCCAAGAUGGAAUUUCAGCUUUCACGCUAAAUUUCCUGACUCUUGAUGCUUUAAAACAGACCGUGGGGGUACAAUUUCAGAAUGAUCUGGAAAAGAAAAUGCUGAGAGAACUGGGAUUCCCAAAGAAGAUGCUGCAGAAGAUAUUUUCCACAUUAAAGAACAUUUGAUCUGUUCCACCAGUAGAUGAACCAUUAGCAGAAGCAAUCAUUAUCAGAGCCAGUAAAAGGAAAUAAAGAAAUGAGGCUUGGUUUUUAAAGUGACCACACUGCUUCUAAGUCAAGGUGAAAGUGCUGACAGUGAAUUUAUCAGAAUUCCAGGUGGAAUCCUCCAGAGUCACCUUUCAAUCAUAACUGUCAUCCUCAGAGAAAAAGCUUUUGUUGAAGAAAAAUUUGUACAAACAUUGAAUAAUCACAUUGAUAUGGUAACAAUUUAACAAUACAUUCAAUAAGAAUGAAUGUUACAGUGGGUCACUUUUUCCCUGCUUUUUAUCAAACCUUUGUAUUUUCCCCAGAUUUUACAAGUAAUAAAUCCUCAUUGUAGAACAUUUGAGAAAGAUAUAAAUAAGAAAAUAAAAGCAGUGCAUAAGACUUUCUCUGAGCAAUGGCCACUAUUAAUAUGCUGAUUCAUUUCAUAAAUGUAUAUAUUUAUAAUCACACACUCAUUUGUGCUUUAGUUAUAUAGUUGAAAUUAUAUUGAAUGUAAUGUCCUUUCUUGCUUUUUCAUUUUUUCCCUUGCAUUUUAUUUAACAUAAAGGUAUAGGUAUA
rnacentral:lncRNA from 10 species